rnacentral:lncRNA from 1 species
UGGAAUCUGCUCCUUGGGGCCCACUGUUUGUGGAAUGGAGUCCUUGCUGUGUCUACCCAACCCUACUCCACUCACCUCUCUCCUAUGUCAACUUACUGCCCUCAUCCCUGGCCUCCACUCAUUCUCUUCCUACCCUUUGCCCCUGCUGUUCUCUCUGAACAAAGUUCAGCUCCCUCGUUCCCUGGGUGCUCUAGGGUUAGGGACAAGUUCUUAUUUGCUUACAUGUUCCUCCCACAAGGCCUGGGAGGCCAGCUCUGCAUUUCCUAGCUUGCAGCAGCAUCCCCUGACAUUCCCUGGAAAAAUAUUUGUGAAGCAUCCAUCUGUAGUGUGUGGGAUCCAGAUGAGAGCUGGGUCUUAGUGAGAGGAAUGAGAGGCUUAGAGGUUCCCUCCCUGCAUAACCACCUUGGAAAGUCAGAUGCGGCUCCCCAUUUUGCAGGGGAAAAAUCUGUGAUUGACCUGGCUGAGACCUUCGCCCCAUACGUAAGUUGCCGGCCAGCCAGUGGGUUGGCUGCCCCAGGGCCAGACGGUCGGACUCAGUCACACAGGGUUGCCCUUGGAAGAGGGGCCCUGUUUGGUUUGACCUUCUGUUGUUGUUGUCUUGAAAUUCCAAAUGCAUUUUGAACAAGUGGCACUCCUUUUUUAUUUUGCACUGGGCCCUGUCAAUUAUGAAGCCAGUCCUGCACCCCAGCUCCAAUCUGUGGUCAGCCCUGGCUCAAUGACUUGCUCCAGGCCUUAAAAAAAAAAUUAAUUAAAUCAGCAGUGAGCUGUGGAUGAUGGUAUUUCCCUGAGGCCAGGCUGGUGUGGUGGGUGAGGCAGGAACCCUGAGGGAUGUGGCUGGUGCCUUAGCUCAGAGCUGCAGGGGAAAAACCAUCGCCUUUGCCACUCAGGGUGCUGAACCCCAGCAAACAACCCCUGUGAGAUCCACGUAUACACCUAUGAGGGGUGGGGUGAGGAGGGUUGCUGGGGACCCCCAGGACUUAGAAAGCUGAGCCAGCCUUUCUGCCUUUUAAUUUAUUUAACCAAGGUCUCUGGGUGGAAGAACCUCAUGCAGGUCCUGUUAUAAAAGAGACUACUCAAUAAAGCACAGGUGGCAGGCCAAGAAAAUCCAGGCUGUCUUGGGCGGUCAGCUGGGCCUCCUGAGGCAGAGGACUGGGGUUGUUCCCAAGGCUUCUGGGCAUCCCGAGAGAUCCAAGACUCUGGGGUCCAUCCGGGGAGUGGCUGUGGAGCAGCUAAGAGGGGAAGUGGGCAUUAGACAUGUCCUCUCUGGAAAGAAAAAGGUGAACACCCAGGAGAAGAGCUAGCAGGGAGAAGGAGGAGCGGGCCAAUCACGAAGGAGAAAGGUAAGUGGCUUGUUUGUAUUCUUCAUGGCUGUUAAAGAAAUGCAGGAGGAAGCAGUAGCAUAGGGAGGCUGAAGCCAUUCAGACUUGCAUUCGAAUGUCAGCUCUGUCCAUGCCUCCCUACCCUCUGGAGCUGGAGCCUGGAAACUACAGCCUUUGGACCAAAUCCCACAGCCCUGGGACACACCACGCCCACUUAUUGUCUAUGGCUGUUUCCCACUGAACAGCAGAGUUGAGAUGGGACAGCUGCUUUUGAUCUGGUGUUUCCUCCUCUGCAAAAUGAGCGUUACAUUAGAAUCCUCCUCCAUGAACUUGUGAUAUCAUAAACGAGGUGAUACUUGCAAGGUGCUUGGCAAAUGCCUCGUACAGAGUUGAGCGCUUGGGGCUGGCUACCAGGGCUGCCACAUACAACAGGCUGGUUGGGUACCUCACAGCAAGUCCUCAACUCCUAUAGAUUAAACUGUGAAUGGUGCCCCUGGAAUGGCAGUGUGACCACCCUGUUAGCUGCUAUUAACAAUCACUAUUAAUAAAUCCCAUUCCUAGUCCUAGAUGGAGCCUUCUCAUCCUCAGAAACCACACUGGUUAAAUCAGUGGAUCUUAACUUUGGCUGCAUAUCGGCAUCACCACAGGAAGUUUCAAAAAUUCCAGUGCCUGAGUCCCACCACAGGGAUUCUGAUUUAAUGGGUUUGGGGGGCGGCUUGGCUUUGGGGAUUUUUAAAAGCUCCCUAGGUGAUUCCUAGAGUCAGCCAACUUUGCAAACCAUGGAGUUAAAAACCCAAAACACAAACUUAUUUGCUUCGGUCCUGAAGGAUCUCAGCUGACUGUAGUUGGCCUGGUUAUUGUGAGCAAAUCUGAUUAAGGUCACAGUUCUUAGCAGCUGUGUGAUCUUGGGAUGGUCUCUAACCUCUGGGAUGCUCCUCUGUAGAAUUGUGAUGCUGUGAAGAUUGGAUGAGCUAAAGAGCUGGGCAUGGGGUGGAGGCCACCAGUAGGCGACAGCUAUUGAGUGUCUUGCAUGACUAUAGGAUGGCAAAUAAUUCUCAAUAUGCAGUUUAUGGGACUGAUGUUGUUUUUCCUGGGGUGGGGAUAAUAAGGGGUCUGAGGAAAGAUUUGGAACCCCUUGCUUGGUUCCUCCCUGGUUCUGUUGGUGACCCAAGAGGUCCCAGAGCUCCUUGCCACAGGCUCCACAGGAUGUUGGCCCCACACCAGGCAAGGCUCAGCAGAGAUCACUGCUGCUCCCACGGAGAGUGCACCGGGCCACUGGGGCAUGCAUGGCUAAUGCAGGGUGGCAGAUUUGAAACCAAACACUGGUGCCUGCAGCCACAGGAGAGAGUAAGGAGAGACAGAAGGAGAGCUGCACUGAUGGAGUCUCGGGGCCCAGUUCGUCUUGACAAUAGCCAUGGGACCCCAGGCUGUCUAAGGCCUCAGUGUCCCUUCCACUUGCCUCUCCACUGUUCUGGUAGUCAUGUUUCUGUCUUCGAUGGCAUCAGUUGUAACAAAUGACACAUAAGCCAGUAAAGCAAUGGUUAAAGCAGAUGUUUUAGUGGAGACAGAGUGGGUUUGAUUCAUGGUGGCAAUCCUUCCCAGCUGUGUUACCUUGGGCAAGUAGCUUAACCUCUCUGAGCCUCUAUACAGCAAGGAUAACAGCCUAUUCAUGGAGCAGUUUGGAGGGUGAAGUGAUACAAUGGCAUGAUGUGCUUAGCCCAGCGCCUGGCAGAGUGAUGCUCACCGAAGACAAACUAUGGUACUUCUGUCCUGAAGAAACCCUGUGGUCACCACUAGAAUUUGAUCUGGAUCUCUAAAUCACCCUUGGAGGCAGCCAGUGGUACCCUGUUUUAUAGAUGAGAAAACUAAGGCUCAGAGAGGCCAAGCUACUUGUCUCGAUACACAGAGAGUAAGCAGCAAAGCCAGGACCUUGGACGCCAAAUUCAAUGCUCUUUCUACCUCUCCACUGUCUUCAAGGUGCAAAAUGUCUUUUAGUUGACAAAGCAGGGUUAUGUCCCUUUUCUCUCUCUAGAUAGUCAAGAAACCCCAAUGAAGAGGCUGUGUGAGCCCAUUUUAUAGAUAAGAACAUGGAGGCCUGCUAACUUGAGGACUCCUAGCCUACGUGAAAUGCAAACUCUCACUGGGGAGCCCCAGCCUGGCCCUAGCAGCUUUGGGCUUAAGCUAGAGUCCACGGGCCUGUCUGGCCUCAGGCUGGUCUCUGUUUAGGAGAGGACCAGCUGGUGGCCUUCCCUCCUGUGCCCCCACUUCCUCAUUACUGUUCAAGCUGCUGGGUUCCGAACACAUUCAGAACCCUCUUGGUUCAGCAUUUAAUGGGAUGCCAGGGCAGAGGAGAAGAGAGGCUUUCAAAAUAACGACUGGCAAAGGAAAAACAGGCAUUCAGUAAAAGUGACAAGCACGGUCACUGGAUUUCCUGACCCUUCUGGCUUUUUUCCUCUCCAUGGGGAAAGUGCCUAUUUGUAUUUCACUGGCCAGCAGCCAAAGAACAGUGUAUCUCGGAGCCACCUCCAGAUCUCCCAGCAGCUUCUGGUCGAUGCUCGGAAGCCCCCAGCAGAGCUGCUUGUCCAUUUGGAUGCAAUGACUCAAGGCUGACUUCCUGAACAUUUUGCCUCAGGUCCGUUGCAACUUCCUACCUCGGAAGGAGAAUGUUGGGUGGACAUUUAGGAUUUUGAACCAAUUAAAUAGCAGAGUCCAGGGCUAGACAUGGAGGAUACUUAGCAAGGUUAGUGGACAGCAUUGUGCAGUUGAUCUGGAACAAGCAUCAGCAGACCUGGAAUCCCUGCUGGCUCAUUAGUGGCAUGAUGUCAGCCACUUUACCUGGCAGAUGCCUCUGCAGGGAAAAUUCCAGCAGGUACUCACCACCAACAGAACUAAGAGGGCCACUCAGGAUCUAAGCCACCCAGAGAUGCAGGCGUGGGGGCUGCCUUGAAGCUCAAAGCUACUUGGGUUUGGUAGCAGUUUCAAAAAGUGACACACCCAAUCCUACAGCUCUUGAUUUCUGGCCCAAUCUCAGACUUGCCUUGUAUUGCAAAGUCCUAAAGCCAAAUUCACCAGAAAGGCAGGCCCUUCACACGUUAACCUGCGUGCACUAUGUGCCAUGCACUGUGCUAAGCACCUAGCAGCCAUAUCUCAUGAAAUAUGAAAUUCUUACGACAGACUGAAGAGGUGGGUACUGUUAUUAUCCUCUUUUUACAGUCAAGGAAACUGAAGUUCAGGGAAGUCAUCUGAUUUCCCCAAAUCACACAGCCGGUGAAGGAAAGAGCUUGAAUCUGAGCCAAACUCUGAAGCUGAAAUCUGUGUUCUGUCUGUUGUGCUGAGAAUUAAACCCCCAUACUGUGUGAUAAUUGACUUAGGUGAGGCUAUAUCAUGCAUUAAUUCAGAUUCACCUGAGGAUGCAGCAGAAAAAGAUCAACAAGAAUGCAGGGCUAUGCCAGGGGGCUCGCUUCUUUGUCUCCUACCCUUUUCCGAAACCCAGGGUGCCUGGAGGCAUCUCCCGUAUCAUUUUAUGGAUGCUGGGACAUAGCCCGGGUACCUAAACUCAAAGCACUCAGGUCCACUGACAGCCCACUUCAGUGUACCGGGUCUGCCCUCCUUCCCUUCCACCUCCUCCCGAACGGCACCGCUCUCAACAGCAGAUGAAACAGAACAGAGA